rnacentral:sRNA from 1 species
GUCUACGCGUUAGUGGUAGUAGCGGCAUCCUUUUUUUUGUUGCGUUUAUGCAAAAAAAAGAUAUAGCGGAUGACACGACCAAAU